AUUGAACGCUGGCGGCAUGCUUUACACAUGCAAGUCGAGCGGCAGCGCGGGGGCAACCCUGGCGGCGAGCGGCGAACGGGUGAGUAAUGCAUCGGAACGUAUCCUCGAGUGGGGGAUAACCCAGCGAAAGUUGGGCUAAUACCGCAUGAGCUCUGAGGAGGAAAGCGGGGGACCUGCGAGGGCCUCGCGCUGGAGGAGCGGCCGAUGUCCGAUUAGCUGGUUGGUGGGGUAAAGGCUUACCAGGGGGCAGAUGGGUAGCUGGUCUGAGAGGAUGUUCAGCACCCCGGGACUGAGAAACCGCCCCCACUCCGUAGGGAGGCAACAGUGGGGAAUUUUGGACAAUGGGGGCAACCCUGAUCCAGCCAUGCCGCGUGAGUGAAGAAGGCCUUCGGGUUGUAAAGCUCUUUCGGACGGAACGAAAUGGGCGGGACUAAUACUCCUGUCUGAUGACGGUACCGUAAGAAGAAGCACCGGCUAACUACGUG
rnacentral:rRNA from 1 species